rfam:Felis catus isolate Cinnamon breed Abyssinian chromosome B3, whole genome shotgun sequence.
ACCUGGGUGGCUCAGUCUGUUGAGCGCCUGACUUCCACUCAGGUCAUGAUCUCACUAUUCUGGGUUCAAGCCCCGCCUCAGGCU